AUAGAGAUGCAUGGAGCAUGGCUUUUCCUUCAUCUUCCUCCGCGAAGGAACAUCGAUAUUCUCUCUUCGACACCUCGUCUCAAUUCCCCAUGAUAUUCUUCAGCAUCCUCGAUAAAUGAGCGAAUUAGUUUAGAGGUUGAUGAAGGUUUGCUUAUUCAAUUGCGAAAAAUAAAAUCAGGCCUAUGACGUAAGAGUAAAUAUUUGGUGAGUCAUUUGUCGGAUGUGUAUUUGUUUUCGAUUGUUCCUUUUAUACAAUGAGUGUAAUGAAAAUUAUUAUUUAUUUUUUCUCGACUGUUCCCUUUAUAUAAUGAGUAUAAUGAAAAAUAUUCUUUGUUU